GACGAACGCUGGCGGCGUGCUUAACACAUGCACGUCGAACGAAGUGGCGAACGGGUGAGUAACGCGUAAUCAACCUGCCCUUCAGAGGGGGACAACAGUUGGAAACGACUGCUAAUACCGCAUACUGAAGGAGGGGAUUGCGUCUGAUUAGGUAGUUGGAGGGGUAACGGCCCACCAAGGCGAUGAUCAGUAGCCAGACGGAGAGGAUGAACGGCAACAGUGGGACUGAGACAAGGCCCAGACGCCUAAGGGAGGCAGCAGUGGGGAAUCUUUCGCAAUGGGAGAAAGUCUGACGGAGCAACGCCGCGUGAGGGAUGACAGCCUUCGGGUUGUAAAGCUCUGUUAAUCGGGACGCGGUACCGGAAUAGAAAGCCACGGCUAACUACGUGCCAGCCGCCGCGGUAAUUC
rnacentral:rRNA from 1 species